rnacentral:tRNA from 1 species
GGAGGUGUGGCUCAGUGGUAGAGUGCUUGUCUCACAUGCAUGAGGCACUGGGUUCAAUUCUCAGCACCACAU